rnacentral:rRNA from 1 species
AUUGAACGCUGGCGGCAGGCCUAACACAUGCAAGUCGAACGAGUGGCGGACGGGUGAGUAAUGUCUGGGAAACUGCCUGAUGGAGGGGGAUAACUACUGGAAACGGUAGCUAAUACCGCAUACCAUCGGAUGUGCCCAGAUGGGAUUAGCUAGUAGGUGGGGUAAAGGCUCACCUAGGCGACCAGCCCUAGCUGGUCUGAGCGGAUGGCCAGCCACACUGGAAAGUAGGGACGGUCCCAGCUCCUACGUGAGGCAGCAGUGGGGGAAAUUGCACAAAGGGCGCAAGGCUGUUGGAGCCAUGCCGCGUGGAUGAAAAAGGCCUUCGGGUUGUGAAGUACUUUCAACGGGGAGGCGUUACCCGGAGAAGAAGCACCGGCUAACUCCGUGCCAGCAGCCGCGGUAAUAC